AUGACCUAUAAUAUUAUGAAAAGAUGAAUGGAGAUCACAGUGAUAUCAGCCCAAGGCCUCAAAACCACCUCCCCUGCUAUCUUCUCAAACAAGAUCAGACCCUUCAUUACCCUGACCACCACCAACGGUGAUCACAAGUGCCACGUGUACAGCACAGGGGUGGAUGAUGAAGGAGGUAUCAACCCUACAUGGGGUGACAAAUUUCAUGUCCCUGUGGACACAAGUUUCUUCGCAAACAGGUACUCUUCCAUAUAUCUGCAGCUUUACAGCAAGCGGCUCAUAAUGGGCCGGACCCAGUUGGGCUGGUGCCAAAUCUCGCCCCAAGAUAUUGGGUUUCCGCCGGCCGGUUCAGCCCGGUACAUGAGUGAACGGCUCCGGGCUAGAGACGGUUCCAGGACCAAUGGGAUUGUGAACCUUUCUGUGAAGUUGGAAAAUUUGGGUCCGGUCAGCGGUCAUGGGCAGCCAAACUCCGUCAAUGCGCCGUCAUUUGGCAUGUGUGGCACAGUCAUUGGAACGCCGGUGACAGCUCUACUGCCACCUUUGGGUAAGGUCUCUGUGAGUUGUGAAGGGCGGUUAGAUCACGUGGGUUUUGGUUGUAAAGAGGCACAUAGAUGGACCACGUGUGAUUCUGAAGGGCACCCUUCCAGAAAUUGAGAGAGCAUCUCAACGCGCGAGUAUUACCACUACAUUAAUUGACAUUGGAUCAAAUUUUCAAAAAUUACGUGUUUUAUGUACCAAUUAGCUUAGCUUUUGGUUUAGUAUUUGUCGUUUAAAUAUCGAAAGAUGUUGCAAAUUUGAAUUAUUCAUCGGUCAUUAUAAA